rnacentral:rRNA from 1 species
UAGAGUUUUGUAGAGGGUGGUAGAAUUUCCAGUGUAGCGGUGAAAUGCGUAGAGAUUUGGAAGGAAUACCAGUGGCGAAGGCGGCCACCUGGACCAGAGACUGACACUGAGGCGCGAAGGCGUGGGGAGCAAACGGGAUUAGAUACCCCGGUAGUCCACGCAGUAAACGAUGUCUAUUAGAAGUUUGCGGCCUUGUGCUGUGGGUUUCAAAGCUAACGCAUUAAAUAGACCGCCUGGGGAGUACGGCCGCAAGGUUAAAACUCAAAUGAAUUGACGGGGGCCCGCACAAGCGGUGGAGCAUGUGGUUUAAUUCGAUGCAACGCGAAGAACCUUACCAUCCCUUGACAUCCAGUGAAGUUACUAGAGAUAGUUUCGUGCCUUCGGGAGCACUGAGACAGGUGCUGCAUGGCUGUCGUCAGCUCGUGUUGUGAAAUGUUGGGUUAAGUCCCGCAACGAGCGCAACCCUUAUCCUUAGUUGCCAGCACGUAAUGGUGGGAACUCUAGGGAGACUGCCGGUGAUAAACCGGAGGAAGGUGGGGACGACGUCAAGUCAUCAUGGCCCUUACGGGAUGGGC